rnacentral:rRNA from 1 species
CGGCGUGCUUACACAUGCAAGUCGAACGGAAAGGCCCCUUUCGGGGGGUACUCGAGUGGCGAACGGGUGAGUAACACGUGGGUGAUCUGCCCUGCACUUCGGGAUAAGCUUGGGAAACUGGGUCUAAUACCGGAUAGGACUACGCACUGCAUGGUGUGUGGUGGAAAGCUUUUGCGGUGUGGGAUGGGCCCGCGGCCUAUCAGCUUGUUGGUGGGGUGAUGGCCUACCAAGGCGACGACGGGUAGCCGGCCUGAGAGGGUGUCCGGCCACACUGGGACUGAGAUACGGCCCAGACUCCUACGGGAGGCAGCAGUGGGGAAUAUUGCACGAUGGGCGCAAGCCUGAUGCAGCGACGCCGCGUGGGGGAUGACGGCCUUCGGGUUGUAAACCUCUUUCACCAUCGACGAAGGCCCGUUUUUGCGGGUUGACGGUAGGUGGAGAAGAAGCACCGGCCAACUACGUGCCAGCAGCCGCGGUAAUACGUAGGGUGCGAGCGUUGUCCGGAAUUACUGGGCGUAAAGAGCUCGUANGUGGUUUGUCGCGUUGUUCGUGAAAUUCCCUGGCUUAACUGGGGGCGUGCGGGCGAU